rnacentral:rRNA from 1 species
AUGCCUAACACAUGCAAGUCGGACGCUCACCGGGGUUUCGGCCCCGGUGGGAGUGGCGGACGGGUGAGUAGCGCGUGGGAACCUGCCCUGUUGUGGGGGAUAACCGAGGGAAACUUCGGCUAAUACCGCAUACGCCGGGAGCGAUCCCGGGAAAGAUUUAUCGCAGCAGGAGGGGCCCGCGUCGGAUUAGGUAGUUGGUGGGGUAACGGCCUACCAAGCCUGUGAUCCGUAGCUGGUCUGAGAGGAUGAUCAGCCACACUGGGACUGAGACACGGCCCAG